rnacentral:rRNA from 1 species
GGAGCGCUUUUUCGUAAUACGAUAUUGGGCGUAAAGAGCUCGUAGGCGGUUUGUCGCGUCUGCUGUGAAAGACCGGGGCUCAACUCCGGUUCUGCAGUGGGUACGGGCAGACUAGAGUGCAUUAGGGGAGACUGGAAUUCCUGGUGUAGCGGUGAAAUGCGCAGAUAUCAGGAGGAACACCGAUGGCGAAGGCAGGUCUCUGGGCUGUAACUGACGCUGAGGAGCGAAAGCAUGGGGAGCGAACAGGAUUAGAUACCCUGGUAGUCCAUGCCGUAAACGUUGGGCACUAGGUGUGGGGGACAUUCCACGUUUUCCGCGCCGUAGCUAACGCAUUAAGUGCCCCGCCUGGGGAGUACGGCCGCAAGGCUAAAACUCAAAGGAAUUGACGGGGGCCCGCACAAGCGGCGGAGCAUGCGGAUUAAUUCGAUGCAACGCGAAGAACCUUACCAAGGCUUGACAUGAACCGGUAAUACCUGGAAACAGGUGCCCCGCUUGCGGUCGGUUUACAGGUGGUGCAUGGUUGUCGUCAGCUCGUGUCGUGAGAUGUUGGGUUAAGUCCCGCAACGAGCGCAACCCUCGUUCUAUGUUUGCCAGCGGUUCGGCCGGGGACUCAUAGGAGACUGCCGGGGUCAACUCGGAGGAAGGUGGGGGACGACGUCAAAUCAUCAUGCCCUCUUAUGUCUUGGGCUUCACGCAUGCUUACAAUGGCCGGUACAAAGGGUUGCGAUACUGUGAGGUGGAGCUAAUCCCAAAAAGCCGGUCUCAGUUCGGAUUGGGGGUCUGCAACUCUACCCAUGAAAGCGAGAGUCGCUAGUAAUCGUAGAAUCUACAAA